CUGAAAGGGUUGUUCUGUGUUCUUAUGUUUGUGUUUUAUUUUGAAGAGAAAUAUAGAGGGUUUUGGAAAGAAAAAUAGAGAGAAUGAAAACCGAGAAAUAAGUUUAACUUUUGUAAUGUUUUACUUAACUUGUGUGCAGCUUGGUGUUUGGCUCGUGAUUGUUACAAAUAAUUGGUGAUUAUCAUAUCAAGUGCACACUCUUUUUAAAGGAUUGGAGAAAAUUACUACUAGUGCAGACAUUCCAAUGUUGGUUUCUGGGGACUUUAAUUCAAUUCCAAGAAGUGCUCCUCAUGCACUUCUUGCAAUAGGAAAGGUAGACCCAUCCCAUCCUGAUUUAACUGUUGACCCACUUAAUAUAUUGCGUCCUCACAACAAGUUGGUU